rnacentral:misc_RNA from 1 species
UAGCAAUGAACAGGCUUAGA